CAAAAGAAAAUUUACAAAUGGAAAAAACUGGUCUGAAAUCAACAAGAUGAAAUUCAAUAAAGACAAGGGCAAAAUACUAUACUUAAGGAAAAAUCAGAUGCACAAACAUAAAAUGAGGAAUAGCUGGCUAGGCAGUAGUACUACUGAAAAAAGGAUCUGGAGGUGAUGAUGGAUCACAAAU